rnacentral:rRNA from 1 species
CCUACGGGGGGCUGCAGGGGGGAAUAUUGGACAAUGGGGGCAACCCUGAUCCAGCCAUGCCGCGUGGGUGAAGAAGGCCCUCGGGUUGUAAAGCACUUUCAGUGAGGAAGAACGCCUGGUGGUUAAUACCCAUCAGGAAAGACAUCACUCACAGAAGAAGCACCGGCUAACUCCGUGCCAGCAGCCGCGGUAAUACGGAGGGUGCGAGCGUUAAUCGGAAUUACUGGGCGUAAAGCGCGCGUAGGUGGCUUGAUAAGCCGGUUGUGAAAGCCCCGGGCUCAACCUGGGAACGGCAUCCGGAACUGUCAAGCUAGAGUGCAGGAGAGGAAGGUAGAAUUCCCGGUGUAGCGGUGAAAUGCGUAGAGAUCGGGAGGAAUACCAGUGGCGAAGGCGGCCUUCUGGACUGACACUGACACUGAGGUGCGAAAGCGUGGGUAGCAAACAGGAUUAGAUACCCCAGUAGUC